AAGGAUAUACUUCCCAAGUGCAAGAUAUUCGUGAUGGAGGUUAACCAAAAGAAUAAAUCUAUGCUUUGAUAUCAAAACAUGUGUUUUUUACCAUUGGCGGCUACUCUCCAGCAGUUCUUCUGCUCUUUUAUUUUCUUUUUUCUUAGUUCUAUGUCUCUUCUUCUACUUCUUCUUCAGAAACAGUGUGUGUUGACUGCUCCUUAAUAACUUACUGAGUCUUCCACAAAGAAAAUUUGCACAAUUGACUGAGCAAGGGGUAUUUUUUUUUAGUCCAGCAGUGUUGUGUCUGCUGCAUGGGUUGUCUCCUUAUUUUGUAUAUACUGAGCUCCCACAUAACUUUUUCUAGGUCCGGCUGUAUACAAAUAUCUCAUCACGAAGAUAUUUCAAUACACGCGUCCACAACGGAUC
rnacentral:sRNA from 1 species